GUUGGUUUUUGGCAGUGCCUAUAUCCAACACAGAAAGCAGGAGGAGAGCACCCAUGGUGAAUGGCCUCCCACUCACUCAUGCUUCUGAGGCAGGAAAGGGCUCUGCCCCCAGGGACAAAGGGCAGGCAAUGAGAGGCAAGGAUAUCAAUGAUUUCAUUCCCACAAGAGUUACUCUGACCAGGCAAAGAAGAUAAUUUAUCCUACUUACAAGCAAAAGGAGAGCUCAUUUCAUGCCACUUCAAGUAGAAUGUGUCCCAACCACACAGACCAGCAUGACAGUGUGUCUAGUGCUUGACUAGCCUCAAAGUCUACAACCAUAUGAUCUUGGCCAGAGCUGUUACUGGUGUUUGGACACCUCCCUCAUCCUCUUUCUUCUUCACCCUGCAGAGGCUUAUGCAGCCAUGGGUUGUCUGUUUCUUGGUAAAUGGUGAGUUUAUAUUAGUCCCUCAAAUAGGAAAAAUUCUCUUCCUUGUCUGGCUUGACAAACUCUCACAGGAAUGAAGUCGACUUUGACAUCAUUGGCUCCUAGUAAAUUUAAUCAGAACUGGCCAAUAAGUUCAAAAAUUAUUAAAUUCAGGGGGAGAGGGUGGGAGUGUUUUGUUUCCCUAGGAAAACAGGCAGAAAGAGUGUGUGUGUUAUAGAGGAAAAAUGGAAAUUACUAUUUGCAAUCCUAGCAUGCUAUAACUUAUCUCCCUUUCCUUUUCUUCUCUUCUCUUCCACAUAUAAAACAAAUCUGAUCAUUACACUGAUCACAAAACGGUCACAAAACUGAUCAUUAUUUCUCCCCAUUCCCCCUUUCUGCUCCCUUGGCCAGCUCCACAGGCAGCAUCUUUGGGUUGGUUUGAACUCCUUCCUCUUCUCAGCCACUCCUUUUCCUUGGGAGACCUCACUGCCUGGAGGGACAUAUUCGGCUCCCUGGCUACAAAUGCAGCAGGGGUGAUACUGGUCUGCCAAGCAAUGGAGGCUGUGAGCAAGGAGCCAAUAGCAACUUGUUAAUAAGGUUUGUUUUGUAAAAAGGCCCCUUUGAGUUAGCAGUUAAAAGGCUCUCUCUUCCCUUGACUUCUGCUGGAGUAAGCCAGUGACUUUCUGUAAUAAUUUUUAUCUGUGUGUCAAGAAUUUAACCUCGAAAGCAUAACUGGACUGCAUUAAUUAAGCUUUAUCUCAUCUCCAGCUGAACCAAUGGUCAACAAACAAACAGAGCUUUCUCAGGAUGGAGUUCCUGUGCAUUUACGUGGUCCACAGCAGCUUCAGUUCCUGGGCAGAAAGGUGUUCCCCAGUCACUUUGUGGGGCACUUUCUGGGAGUCAUGAAUCCCCUCCUUACAGCUCAUUUGUGUCAACCAUAAAAUAUCCCCAAGCCUCUUCUUCCAGGAAAUGUGAGGUCCAGAAGAGGUCCUUUUGGUCUGCGCAGCAUCUUCCAAGCAUCCACAGAGUCUGGCACCCGGAGUAAAGGGCUCUUUUGCUUUUUACCCAUUGAUGCUAAUGAUGACUCUGUAAGCAACCCGGCUCGACUCUGAGAAUGUAGGUUGGGUUUGUAACAGUAGCACUUUAGAAGACCUUCCUUUUGACCUCCUGAUGAAAUCAACCAUGGUCUCGCUGUGCACAGAGCAUCCCCUCUGAGCACAGCUGCAACGAACAAGCAGGAAUUUCUGAGACGGCACAAACUUGCAAACCCUUCCACAAGAUUAUCAAAUGACAGCAGGUUGAAAGUAUGUAAUGAGCAGCACGGAUUCACUGACUAAGCAUCCCUAAAGGGACUGGUGCUUAAU